CGAGUUCCACUGAGGCAAUGUCUGUAAAAUAACAGUGGGACCGAAAAGGCCUUACUAGAAGCUGGCAAUGAUACCGUAACAUUUGGUGUUGCAAUACCAUAGGCAGGUAAUAGCCCCUGUGUUCAGAGUUCGUGAAUAAAACAACUUCCGUGAUGUGAAAUGCAGCUGGAGAGCUGGAAGGAAGCCGAGGGACCUGCCAGUUUCUCAGGGUAGGACAGAAUAAGAGCUUCAAAACGUGACAAGAACUCCUUACAGAAAGAAAGCCAAAAAACCAGCUAACUGAACAACUAAACGACGAAGGUGGAAAGCCCAACACACUGCAGAGGUCAGAAACGAGAACAAGGUAGCACUCGUCACACACCUAGAGCAUCUGGGCUCCAGCCGUCAGCAGCAGGGGGCCCGCCGUGGGCUAUCAGGAGCCGACGGUUUGGGACUCCAUCUGGGUUUGAGUCCUUACUGCCUUCUAGCUGGAAAAGGAAACUGAGGACCAGAGAGGUGAAGUAACUGCUCGUGCUCACACAGCUCCUCAGUGACAGCUGGAAUCUGAACCAGGUCUGUCCAACCCUGACGCUCUGCUGUGGAGGAAGUGCUCCCAGCUCACUCUCCUUGGCACCCCUCCUGCCCACCCGGUGUCCCUGGGGGACCCCCUGGUAUUACUGCUCAGCUUGAUGGGGCUUUUCAUGCUGGAGGCCCUGAGACACAAGGACAGCAAGCAGGGAGCUGCUGAAGGAGUUUCCCAUGGUUCCUAUCAGAACAUUUGGAAAUGGAAACCUAGCAAUUACAGAGAAAAUUAUUAACUUUCAGGGAGCCUUGUUUGGGUCAUAGCCCUUUCCUUUGGGCGUAAGUUGUUGGUGUGAAACUGAACUGAAAACUUGCAUCUCCAGCUGCCCCAGCUGAGCCCUUAGACCUUUGUUGUGGCUUUUAUUCUCUUGGGCAAGAGGAGGGAGGAAUUCGGGGUAUGUGGCCCCAUGACUGAGAAGGAGGAGCAGGAAUGGUACUUACAUUUGUCAAACUUUUCCUAUGUGUUUUCCAUAUUUUGUCUCGUUUAAUCCUCAGAACAAUCUCAUGAGCAAGGAAAGAAUGGCAUUUGGAACGUGGCAGACGUGGCUUCUCAUUCCUAGUUCACCACUCGCCACUGUGCUAAGUGACUUUGCCUCCAAAUUUUCUCCUGUGCAGCAUGGGGUUACUGCUGCCUCCAUCCGAGGUGCUCUGAAGGGGUCGGUGCAGGGACCCCUGGGGGCUUGCACGUUCAUCAAAUGAUAAAGACAUGUGGAAAAAAUUGAAAAUAUCAUGUGAAAUACGCACACACACAGACAUAAGUGUGUCAUGACCACAGCUGGAUAUAACUGUGUCCACCUACAGAUGGGAGCGAUCUUGCCAAGGCCACAGGGACAUGCUGACUAUUUAUCUAUUUCUCUCAUUUAUAUACUCCUUCAAGUGUAUGGCUCGAGACAACAGACUUAGGAUACUUUGUACUUUCUGCCUU
rnacentral:lncRNA from 1 species